rnacentral:rRNA from 1 species
AUUGAACGCUGGCGGCAGGCCUAACACAUGCAAGUCGAGCGGCAGCGGGAAAGCAGCUUGCUACUUUUGCCGGCGAGCGGCGGACGGGUGAGUAAUGCCUGGGGAUCUGCCCAGUCGAGGGGGAUGACUACUGGAAACGGUAGCUAAUACCGCAUACGCCCUACGGGGGAAAGCAGGGGACCUUCGGGCCUUGCGCGAUUGGAUGAACCCAGGUGGGAUUAGCUAGUUGGUGAGGUAAUGGCUAACCAAGGCGACGAUCCCUAGCUGGUCUGGGAGGGUGAUCAGCCACACUGGAACGGAGACACGGGCCAGGCUCCUACGGGAGGCAGCAGUGGGGAAUAUUGCACAAUGGGGGAAACCCUGAUGCAGCCAUGCCGCGUGUGUGAAGAAGGCCUUCGGGUUGUAAAGCACUUUCAGCGAGGAGGAAAGGUUGGUAGCUAAUAACUGCCAGCUGUGACGUUACUCGCAGAAGAAGCACCGGCUAACUCCGUGCCAGCCGCCGCAGUAAGAC